GCGCCCAUAGCUCAGGUGGAUAGAGCAGCAGCCUUCUAAGCUGCAGGUCGCUGGUUCGAGUCCAGCGUGAAGUG
rnacentral:tRNA from 1 species